AGUAACGCGUAGUCAAUCUACCCUAUGGACGGGAAUAACCUCGGGAAACUGAGAAUAAUGCCCGAUAGAACAUUAUGCCUGGAAUGGUUUAUGUUUCAAAUGAUUUAUCGCCAUAGGAUGGGACUGCGGCCUAUCAGUUUGUUGGUGAGGUAAUGGCCCACCAAGACUAUUACAGGUACGGGCUCUGAGAGGAGUAGCCCGGAGAUGGGUACUGAGACACGGACCCAGGCCCUAUGGGGCGCAGCAGGCGAGAAAACUUUGCAAUGUGCGAAAGCACGACAAGGUUAAUCCGAGUGGUUUCUGCUAAAGAAACCUUUUGUCAGUCCUAGAAACACUAACGAAUAAGGGGUGGGCAAGUUCUGGUGUCAGCCGCCGCGGUAAAACCAGCACCUCAAGUGGUCAGGAUGAUUAUUGGGCCUAAAGCAUCCGUAGCUCGUUUUGUAAGUUUUCGGUUAAAUCCAUGCGCUUAACGUAUGGGCUGCCGGGAAUACUGCAUAACUAGGAAGUGGGAGAGGUAGACGGUACUCGGGAGGAAGGGGUAAAAUCCUUUGAUCUCUUGAUGACCACCUGUGGCGAAGGCGGUCUACCANAACACGUUCGACGGUGAGGGAUGAAAGCUGGGGGAGCAAACCGGAUUAGAUACCCGGGUAGUCCCAGCUGUAAACUAUGCAAACUCAGUGAUGCAUUGGCUUAUGGCCAAUGCAGUGCUGCAGGGAAGCCGUUAAGUUUGCCGCCUGGGAAGUACGUACGCAAGUAUGAAACUUAAAGGAAUUGGCGGGGGAGCACCACAAGGGGUGAAGCCUGCGGUUCAAUUGGAGUCAACGCCGGGAAGGGCGAAUUCGUUUAAACC
rnacentral:rRNA from 1 species